GCGCGAAUUUCAUAUAUUGUGUAAUAGUUAUAAUAUAUUGACUAGUUAUUACGUUGAUGUCAGUUGUGUUAAAUAUAACGUGUUAAUUUAUACUAUUGAAACACAUUAAAAUGGUUUUUGUCGAACUUAUAAUUAAUAUUUAACUUACAAAAAUGAAUUUUUAAUUGUGUAAAGUAUCAAUAUUUACGAAAAUGGAGGCAAGAAUUAAUAAUCUUGUACGCUCUAUAUUUCUUCUCAAUGAUAGACUUGUACCACCAUCUUUGGAUAAACACCUUACCCAAAAAAUAUUUAAUAAGCCUAAUAAAGAAGCUAUGGAACAAAUUUUAUACUUUUUAUUGUCAAUAUUAAAUCCAAAAUUUAUAAAAUCUAUCACAUGGCCAAUAAGAUCAUUAAAAGAAGCAGCAGAGUUUCGCAAUGCAGUCACUACUAUUAUAAAUGGUUUAGAUGAGUUUACUUAUAGAAAAUCUUUAAUAGUCAGUGGAAAAGUAAAUUCUUCUCUAUUAGCCAAUCCUGGAGGUUCAACUUUUGUAUUUUUUAUGUAUCAAUUUUGUAUAUAUGUUUUACGUUGUGAUUUGGUCAAAAAAGGUUUACCAGUCAUAAAUGAACCUUUAUAUAAUGAAGAUCCAUAUAUAGAAAACAAAAUACAGUUUUUUCGUAAGCUAAUUCAUAAUGAUUUUACUGAAGCAAAUGAAAAAAUGAAUCUCACUGAAACUUUACAUAUAAAUUUUACUAAAAAAGCUUUAAAAUUGAAGGAAAUCAUUCAGGAAAGUAAACAACAAAUAAAAGAUAAUAAAUCUGAACUUCAAACUAUUAUGUUAUCAGAUAAUAUUGAAAAUGAAGUUAUUGAACUGAGAAAACAAAAUAUUUAUUUGAGAACUAAAUUUAAUAAAAAUCGAUUAGUUAUAGAAAAUUGCAUUACUUUGGCAAAAGUUAUUUUGAAAAAUUCAGAAAUUUGGGAUGCAGAAGAUUUUAACUUUAUUUUGAGUUUAAAUAAAGAAAUUACCAGUGGAAAUAAUGGGAAAACACAUCUAGUAAAAUUACUAAAAAUUAUUAAAAACAGUUUAGAUGAUUUUAAUAGAUGGUGUAACCAUUUAGAUGAAAAGCAAGAAGAUAUUUAUAAUAUUGUGUUAGAAACAGAGAAAAUAGCUGAAAAAAUGUCUAAUCAGCUAAAACAGUAUAAAACAAUAGCAGAACAUAUUAAUGAUGGGAUUAACAAUCUAAAACUUAAUAACAAAAACUUAGAAGAGGAAAUUUUUUGUGAUAAAUAUCUUGGAGAAAUUAAUCCUAAAUUGCUAAAAGCCUAUAAAAAAUUACCUACUGUUAUUUUGAGACCAAAUAAAGUUGCUAAAUCAAAUAUACUUGCAAGUAAUGAUUCCAGAAGAUCAAGAAGAUCAAUUCUACUUCAUGGAAGUAAACCAUAUGUUCAAAAAAGUUUAUGUAUUAAUGAAAUUAAAAAUCUAUAUAACUCAAUUAUGUUGAUUCAGAAUAAUCAAAAAACUUCAAAAUGUAUCGUAGAACAUUCGGUGACAAUUGUUGAUCAAAGUUCAUUAAGUCAAUUUUCUGCAAAUGAUCUACAAAAAGUUAUUCUACUUAGUUGUACCUAUGUAUACUCAAAUAUUCCUGUCUCUGUAGAAAAAUUAAAUAUUUUGUGUUUGAAGUUUUUGAUAACUACUUUUUGGGGAAAACAUUUUUGUCCAAACGUUUAGAUCUUAAUGUGAACAUGGUGUCACAUUUACACAUGUGAAGUGAAUCUUCCUUUUCUGUUCCACACUUCUUGCACAGUGGUGAUUCUGUCACAUCCAUUGUGUAAAGAUGUUACACUAAAGAAUCAAACAAAGUGUGAAGCUUUUAAGUUACAAAACCAUGUUAUUAAUUGUGAACUAAAUAAAAAAGAAUCAUCUCAUCUUCAUAACAUUAGUCAAUUUAGAGAAGAUGAAGUAAAAAG